GAUGAACGCUGGCGGCGUGCCUAAUACAUGCAAGUCGAGCGAACGGACGAGAAGCUUGCUUCUCUGAUGUUAGCGGCGGACGGGUGAGUAACACGUGGAUAACCUACCUAUAAGACUGGGAUAACUUCGGGAAACCGGAGCUAAUACCGGAUGAUAUUUUGAACCGCAUGGUUCAAAAGUGAAAGACGGUCUUGCUGUCACUUAUAGAUGGAUCCGCGCUGCAUUAGCUAGUUGGUAAGGUAACGGCUUACCAAGGCAACGAUGCAUAGCCGACCUGAGAGGGGGGAUCGCCAACAGUGAAAAGAGACCAGGGCCCAAAUCCGUAGGGGAGGAAGCAGUAGGGAACCUUCGGAAAGGGGCGAAAGCUGAAGGGGGAAACGCCGGGGAAGGAAGGAGGUCUUCGGAUCGUAAAACUCUGUUAUUAGGGAAGAACAUAUGUGUAAGUAACUGUGCACAUCUUGACGGUACCUAAUCAGAAAGCCACGGCUAACUACGUG
rnacentral:rRNA from 1 species